rnacentral:rRNA from 1 species
GGGCAUGUGCACGCUCUGUUUGUGCAUCCACUCACACCUGUGCACCUUCUGUAGUUCUGUGGCCUGGGGGACUCGUCCUCCUGCUGCGGUUCUGCGUUUUUACACUCACGCUGUGAUAAAGUCUAAUCGAAUGCAUGCCGCGUUUAACGCAAUACAAUACAACUUUCAGCAACGGAUCUCUUGGCUCUCGCAUCGAUGAAGAACGCAGCGAAAUGCGAUAAGUAAUGUGAAUUGCAGAAUUCAGUGAAUCAUCGAAUCUUUGAACGCACCUUGCGCCCUUUGGCUAUUCCGAAGGGCAUGCCUGUUUGAGUAUCAUGAACAUCUCAACUCCUCGCGGUUCGCCCGUGAUGAGCUUGGACUUUGGGGGUCUUGCCGGCCUGCAGGUCGGCUCCUCUCAAAUAAAUCAGCUUGCCGGUGUUUGGUGGCGUCACAGGUGUGAUAACUAUCUACGCUUGUGGUUCUCCGCCAGGUAGCCUCCAGCAAUGGGGGUUCACUGGAGCUCACAAAUGUCUCUCCUCGGUGAGGACCUCUUUGAACGUUUGAUCUCAAAUCAGGCAGGACUACCCGCUGAACUUAAGCAUA